rnacentral:rRNA from 1 species
CCUACGGGUGACAGCAGUGGGGAAUAUUGGGAAAUGGGCGCAAGCCUGACCCAGCAACGCCGCGUGAAGGAAGAAGGCUUUCGGGUUGUAAACUUCUUUUCUGAGGGACGAAGAAAGUGAAGGUACCUCAGGACUAAGCCACGGCUAACUACGUGCCAGCAGCCGCGGUCAUACGUAGGUGGCAAGCGUUAUCCGGGUUUAUUGGGUGGAAAGGGCGUGUAGGCGGGAAAGCAAGUCAGAUGUUAAAACUCAGGGCUCAACCCUGAGCCUGCAUUUGAAACUGUGUUUCUUUAGUGCUGGAGAGGCAAUCGGAAUUCCGGGUGUAGCGGUGAAAUGCGUAGAUAUACGGAGGAACACCAGUGGCGAAGGCGGAUUGCUGGACAGUAACUGACGCUGAGGCGCGAAAGCGUGGGGAGCGAACAGGAUUAGAUACCCCAGUAGUC